GGGAAUGUGGCUCAGAGAUAGAGUGCUUGCCUUGCAUGCAUGAAGCCUGGGUUCAAUUCCUCAGCACCA
rnacentral:tRNA from 1 species